rnacentral:ncRNA from 2 species
CUGUUAAAAAAAGCGUGUGACCAUCCUUAGCCUUGGCGACGGAUGGAGACGAGGAGGAGGGGUCUCGAUCGCAAGAUCGGACAAUCGGACUCAAUUUUGCCAGUAGGGGAGUACCUGUACUGAGCGAAGUCGAAGUAUCUACGGAAACCCUCUGGGUGGAUCGGUCAUCCAAAACAUAAAGUUUAAAUCUGUUAGCAAUAACAGUCCAAAGACUUUAUUACAUCGAUAA